GAGGGUAUAACUCAGUGGUAGAGACAUGCUUAGCGUGCACGAGGUCCUGGGUUCAAUCCCCAGUGUCUCCA
rnacentral:tRNA from 1 species